GACGAACGCUGGCGGCGUGCUUAACACAUGCAAGUCGAACGGAAAGGCCCUGCUUUUGUUGGUUUCUCGAGUGGCGAACGGGUGAGUAACACGUGUGUAACCUGCCCUUUCCUUUGGUAUAACUUCAGGAAACUUGGGCUAAUACCGGAUAGGAUCUCCUGCUGCAUGGUGGGGGUUGGAAAGUUUCGGCGGUUGGGGAUGGAGUCGCUGCUUAUCAGCUUGUUGGUGGGGUAGUGGCUUACCAAGGCUUUGCCGGGUAGCCGGCAUGAGAGGGUGACCGGCAACAUUGGGACUGAGAGAGGGCCCAGACGGCUACGGGAGGCAGCAGUGGGGAAUAUUGCACAAUGGGCGGAAGCCUGAUGCAGAAACGCCGCGUGCGGGAUGACGGCCGUCGGGUUGAAAACCGAUUUAGAAUGUGAAGAAGAGUGAGUGACGGUAAUGGGUAAAGAAGCAACGGCUAACUACGUG
rnacentral:rRNA from 1 species